UACGGAGGACGCGAGCGUUAUCCGGAUUCAUUGGGUUUAAAGGGAGCGUAGGCGGGAGCUUAAGUCAGCGGUUAAAUGGUGCGGCUCAACCGUGCCCUGCCGUUGAAACUGGGUUUCUUGAGAGUGCAAGAGGCGGAUGGAAUUCAUGGUGUAGCGGUGAAAUGCUUAGAUAUCAUGAAGAACUCCGAUUGCGAAGGCAGUCCGCUGGGGCACGUCCGACGCUGAUGCUCGAAGGUGCGGGAAUCAAACAGGAUUAGAUACCCUGGUAGUCCGCACGGUAAACGAUGAUUACCCGCUGUCGGCGGUAGACAGUCGGCGGCCAAGCGAAAGCGAUAAGUAAUCCACCUGGGGAGUACGCCGGCAACGGUGAAACUCAAAUGAAUUGACGGGG
rnacentral:rRNA from 1 species